UGUUGAGCAGCUGCAUGGAUAUAUCUUUAUUCUGAGCAACCUCCGAAACAGAAUGCGGCGCUAAUGCGCAUACUACACUGAUUCCUUACCACUGUUUGGAAAAAAACAGAACAGAUUGUAAUCGGUCGCAGAAGGCGGGAAGCAACAGAAGGCGUAGAAAGUUACUACCUACGCGGCAACAGUCAGCAUCACUGGACUUAAUUUUCAGAUCAGUUUAUGCCUUUGCAUCUCUGUGUUCAAGUUUCAAGAAGUUAAGACAGAGUUAAGGAAGAUAACUGGAGAUGUGAAAAAGAUACCAGGUUUCUGGUUCCAAAAUGAUCUGGAAGUGACAAGUCUGAUGAGCCAGAGCUUGAUGCUGUUGCAGUGGGCCUCCUUACUGUCAUCAGUGACCAUGACACAAGUCCAGCUCACUACCACCCUGUGAGAAUCUCUGUUGUUGUUGAAAGUGAUGCCGUGGUCAGCCUCCCCAGACUUGGUGAUGCCUUCCUGGUAAUCUUUGGACUGAUCUUUGCACUACACCUCAGCUAUCCCAUAGCACUGACAAACACUUUUGAAUUCACUCAAAAGAUUUUACUUGGUCUAGAUAGUGGUAAACUGUCACCCAGUUUGCAGACCCUCAAGAAUGACUUGUAGAAACUCAUCUGAAAGAAGGCUAAAGCAUUAUAAAAGGCUAGUUGAAAGUUAUGUCCUUUUGUCUAAAUAAUGCCUCAAAAAGAUACUGCACUACUUUGCAGGUGUUCAGCCAAUAGGCACAAACUACACAAUAUGCCUUUGUUCUCAUUAAUAUGAUGCAAAGGUAAUGCUAAUGUUUUGUAUGUUUUAAUGUUUUUCUCAACCAUUGUGGCCUGCGCAGGAUGACCCUCAUUUCACUGUGCUUUUGAUACUGGUUAAUGUAAUAAAUUUACAUUUUAGAGUUUCAAGUGAAAAUGUUAUUACAGUCUAUAGA
rnacentral:lncRNA from 1 species